CCUUAACCAUGCAAGUCGAACGGCAGCACGGGGGCAACCUUGGUGGCGAGUGGCGAACGGGUGAGUAAUAUAUCGGAACGUGCCCUGGAGUGGGGGAUAACUAGUCGAAAGACUAGCUAAUACCGCAUACGAUCUACGGAUGAAAGUGGGGGAUCGCAAGACCUCAUGCUCGUGGAGCGGCCGAUAUCUGAUUAGCUAGUUGGUGGGGUAAAGGCCUACCAAGGCAUCGAUCAGUAGCUGGUCUGAGAGGACGACCAGCCACACUGGAACUGAGACACGGUCCAAACUCCUACGGGAGGCAGCAGUGGGGAAUUUUUGGACAAUGGGGGGCAACCCUGAUCCAGCAAUGCCGGGGUGUUGAGAAAGAAGGCCUUUCGGGGUUGUAAAGCACUUUGUGGCGGGGAACCAAAACGGAGGUGGGGUUUAAUAACCUUUGCUCUUAAUGGACGGGUACCCCGCAAAAAUAAGCACCGGCUAACCUACGGUGCCAGCAGCCCGCGUAAUAAACGUAGGGGUGCAAGCCGUUAAUUCGAGAUUUUACUGGGCGUAAAGCCGUGCCGCAGGCGGGUUUGGUAAAAACAGAUGUGAAAUCCCCCGGGC
rnacentral:rRNA from 1 species